rnacentral:misc_RNA from 1 species
CCAAUAGCGUAUAUUAAAGUUGUUGCAGUUAAAAAGCUCGUAGUUGAACUUCAGGCCUGUCCAGAUGGUCCGCCUUAAUUGGUGUGUACUGUCCUUGGGUGGGUCCUACCUUCUGGCGAAGCGGCAUGGCCUUAAUUGGUUGUGUCGGGGAAGCAGGACUUUUACUGUGAAAAAAUUAGAGUGUUCAAAGCAGGCAUAAUAUGCUCGAAUACAUUAGCAUGGAAUAAUGGAAUAGGACGAUGGUUCUAUUUUGUUGGUUCUAGGACCGUUGUAAUGAUUAAUAGGGAUAGUUGGGGGCAUUAGUAUUCAAUUGUCAGAGGUGAAAUUCUUGGAUUUAUUGAAGACUAACUACUGCGAAAGCAUUUGCCAAGGAGGUUUUCAUUAAUCAAGAACGAAAGUUAGGGGAUCGAAGACGAUCAGAUACCGUCGUAGUCUUAACCAUAAACUAUGCCGACUAGGAAUCGGGCGAUGUUGACAAAAUGACUCGCUCGGCACCUCAUG